GAAGAUAUAUAUAAAAUAAGUUAAAACUUUCAACAACGGAUCUCUUGGUUCUGGCAUCGAUGAAGAACGCAGCGAAAUGCGAUAAGUAAUGUGAAUUGCAGAAUUCAGUGAAUCAUCGAAUCUUUGAACGCACAUUGCGCCCAUUAGUAUUCUAGUGGGCAUGCCUGUUCGAGCGUCAUUUCAACCCUUAAGCCCCUGUUGCUUAGCGUUGGGAGCCUACAGCCUGGCUGUAGUUCCUAAAAGUGAGUGGCGGAGUUGGUUCACACUCUAGACGUAGUAAAUCUUUUAUCUCGCCUAUAGAUGAGCCGGCGCCCUGCCAUAAAACCCCCCUAUUUUAUAAGGUUGACCUCGGAUCAGGUAGGAAUACCCGCUGAACUUAAGCAUAUCAAUAAGCGGAGGAAAAGAAACCAACAGGGAUUGCCCUAGUAACGGCGAGUGAAGCGGCAACAGCUCAAAUUUGAAAUCUGGCCUUCGGGUCCGAGUUGUAAUUUGUAGAGGAUGCUUUUGGCGCGGUGCCUUCCGAGUUCCCUGGAACGGGACGCCUUAGAGGGUGAGAGCCCCGUACGGUUGGACACCAAGCCUCUGUAAAGCUCCUUCGACGAGUCGAGUAGUUUGGGAAUGCUGCUCUAAAUGGGAGGUAAAUUUCUUCUAAAGCUAAAUAUUGGCCAGAGACCGAUAGCGCACAAGUAGAGUGAUCGAAAGAUGAAAAGCACUUUGAAAAGAGGGUUAAAAAGCACGUGAAAUUGUUGAAAGGGAAGCGUUUGCGACCAGACCUUUUCCCAGCGGAUCAUCCGGUGUUCUCACCGGUGCACUUCGCUGGGUGGAGGCCAGCAUCGGUUUCCGUAGGGGGAUAAAAGCCUGGGGAACGUAGCUCCCUCGGGAGUGUUAUAGCCCCUCGCAUAAUACCCUUCCGGGGACCGAGGACCGCG
rnacentral:rRNA from 1 species